CGGACGGGUGAGUAGUGUCUGGGAAACUGCCCGAUGGAGGGGGGUAACUACUGGAAACGGUAGCUAAUACCGCAUAACGUCGCAAGACCAAAGAGGGGGACCUUAGGGCCUCUUGCCAUCGGAUGUGCCCAGAUGGGAUUAGCUAGUAGGUGGGGUAACGGCUCACCUAGGCGACGAUCCCUAGCUGGUCUGAGAGGAUGACCAGCCACACUGGAACUGAGACACGGUCCAG
rnacentral:rRNA from 1 species